rnacentral:rRNA from 1 species
AAUGAACGCUGGCGGCAGGCCUAAAACAUGCAAGUCGAACGCCCUAGCAAUAGGGAGUGGCGCACGGGUGAGUAACAUGUGGGAAUAUGCCUUUUGGUACGGAACAACGUUUGGAAACGAACGCUAAUACCGUAUGGUCCCUCCGGGGUAAAGAUUUAUCGCCAAAAGAUUAGCCCGCACUAGAUUAGCUAGUUGGUGAGGUAAAGGCUCACCAAGGCUACGAUCAGUAGCUGGUCUGAGAGGAUGACCAGCCACAUUGGGACUGAGACACGGCCCAAACUCCUACGGGAGGCAGCAGUGGGGAAUCUUGCGCAAUGGGCGAAAGCCUGACGCAGCCGUGCCGCGUGGAUGAUGAAGGUCUUAGGAUUGUAAAAUCCUUUCACCGGUGAAGAUAAUGACUGUAGCCGGAGAAGAAGCCCCGGCUAACUUCGUGCCAGCCGCCGCCGUAAGAC